AUAACAAGUUGGAAGGUUUAUACAGCAGUCAGAAGGCCUUCUCUUUCAGACAUCACAUUGACCCCUGAUGCCUGGUGUACCAAGCUGGGUGCCUCACCAGAGGGUGAUUCCUUCAGAAAUCUGAUGCUUCUGGAAAAAUAAGACUGGGGGUCAAGACAAAGGUAAUUUCUGCUUUUAUGAAUCACAAACUCCUCCAAAGCCAGGAACUGAACACAAAGUCCCAUCUAUCUGCUUGGAAGAAAGAUGAGAUGGAAGCAGAGAAGUGCAUACGUGGCCAUUGAGCAGCAGCUAAAUCAAAGUAAAGAAACUGCCACAAUUGGGAUAUACUCAGAAUUUAAAACAUGCUCUUUCAGACUUCCCUUAAGUGGCUUCUAUUUACAGAUUUGCUUUCAAUCUCAGACUCUCGAGGACGUUUUCUUCUAAGACGAUACUGACCCCUUUUUCUGUACAAGUAGC